CCGCACAUUUCAUUGACUUUGCUUUCUUCUCUGUGUUAAGUGAAGUUAUUUCUGAUGUGCGAGAUGAAUCUGAAGGCCUAUUAGCAGCGUGGCUCGUCCUGUAGUCACCGCUGUCAGUCUCCUUCAUACACCG